AUUUGACGUCACCGCGGAGAGGGCGGGAGUUCCGGCGCGUCGCAGCCACACGAUCCGCGCCGGAAACCUUCUUGUAGUCAGCCCCGUAACGGUCGCCCACUAGUUUCAGCCAGUUUCCAAGCGGAAAUAGGUCCCAGCUCGCCCACCGCCCAGGAUUCGCAAGCUACGAGCCUUUGAGUUUCAGGGCUCGGUUUGGACUUUCACAGUCAGAGAUGGAGGCAAAGUCGGAAUCCACACAGGCUCCCGAGUCUUGGUCCUCUCAUCCAGUCUAUGCAAGGUACUGGCAGCAUUACCAUCAAGCCAUGGCAUGGAUGCGCAGCCACCAGAGUGCCUAUCAGAAGGCGGUGGAAUCAGUCGUCCCUUCCCCGUGGUACUACCCAGCCACUGAUCUUGCCCAGAGUCCUGCCGCCAAGGGUGGCACAAGUCCUCAGUCCCAUUCCAAGUCUCCUUCGGCUUCCAGGGAUGCCUGCCGCAGGCGUUCACGUCCCGGCAAGCCGGGACCACAACGACGCAGCACAGAAAAGCCAGCCCGGUUCGCAGAGGACAACGAUAGCGAGUCCGAUGACUGCGGCAUAGUGUGCGACCUGAGCAACAUGGUGAUCACGGAUGAGCUGCGCCAGUACUUCGCAGAGACCGAGCAGCACCAGGAGGAGCUCCGGCGGCAGCAUCAGCUGGAUGCAGCACGCCUGAAAGACUACGUGAAUGCUGACCACGGCCUGUACUGCGACAAGCGCGGCCGCUCCACACUGCCCCCAACCGAGCGGCCUGGAGAGCGGCGCCAGGCUGAGAUGAAGCGCCUGUACGGGGCCAGCGCCGCCAAGAUCCAGGCUAUGGAGACGGCCAUGCAGCUCAGCUUUGACAAGCACUGCGACCGCAAGCAGCCCAAGAGGAAGACAGCCAGAGAUGAGCUUGAAAGUCAUCCAGAAUUGAGAGCCGAGGACAGUGAUUCCCAAACUUGCUCACCUCUGCAGUCUCCUUGGUGGUAGCAAAGGUGUCAUUGAACUCUUACUACAUAUAGUGAAUACUGUUUUGAUAAGAGAAUAUAUUUCAGGGAACAAAAACCUAAAAAUGGAUGUCUCAGUCCACUUAUAAAAGCCAGCUGCCUUUUAAAUAAGUUAUUUUGGUGCGUUGCCAGGGUGAACCACGCUGACCUGCGAAGAUUAGCACAUCCAUCAAAGGUUGGUGAAAAGAUAAGAGUAUUGACAUGUUUCUCCCUUGAAACACUUAGCUGCGCAUUUCAGCCCCUGCCCUGAGACAAAUACAUUACUUUUCCUCAGCCCCAGGUGCUUAUUUUUCCAAGCUCGUGUUUUAUUACUGGAGUACAGUUUGUGCUUGGGUAUUGCAGACAAAAAUCAGAAUUAACUUCCCCUGUGGUGACACGUGACCAAAAUUUCAAAUCUUUAGCGGUUGUCUCUUUUUUUCUUUGAAACCUGUACGCCUAAAUAGAAAAUAAAUGUGAGGCAGAAAUACAAACUGAAGCCUCUAAUUAUGGCAGUUUUCUUGGCAAUUUGAGAGUGAAGUGUUUAUCCUCCCGAAAGAGACUGCUACCUUCCCCUAGAGAAACCCCCAGGUUGGCCCCACCCUUGCCGAUGAGUGCCUUUCACCUCCCAGGCCUUGGUGUUCCUCACUCCUGACGUAGGACUUCAUGAUACCUUGAGAACCACCUGGAGUCAGUGCCUGGAAAACACACAGCGCUGGCCACGUGGUAUAUACACAAUCAAUGCUGAUGCUUAUCUAUUGCCUAUCUUUAAAAAUUGCAAGAAUGCCAACAGAAGUCCUGGCUGUGGAGCUUCUUCCAGAUAAGGGGACAUAUCUCCCUGUCGGCAUUUGGAACAGAUGGACUGGCUCCUGACACCUCAGCCCCACCUGUCCUUCUACCCCGAUGUCCUUUGUGUGAUCACUUGUUCAUUCAUUCACACAGCAGAUGUUUAGUCCUUUCCAUCCCAAUUAGCUGGACCAUGGUCUUUUCCCUUGGGGACAUGGUGGUGGGCACCGAGGGUGGGGGGCACCGCUGCAAGAGCUCAGGAGGGAGGUAAGGGCCGGGCUUCUUAAUUAACCAAAGCGACGUCAACACUUGGAACUGGAUCAUUCUUUCUUCUAAAGAAUCCAUACCAUGGACGCCUAUUUAUGAACUAAAACUGAUUAACUUGGGAAAUACUCACACACACCGGCUUCAGAAUAAGAGUUUGGUUCUGGGCAGUGAGAGGAUUGGAGUCCCCAUCCAGGGGGGUUUCUCUGUCUCUCUGAUGUUUCAUUUCUUUAUAACAAAAGUUAUGGUAGAAGCCAGCUUUCCCCGUCCAGAGGGGUUUCUCUGUCUCUCUGAUGUUUCAUUUCUUUAUAACAAAAGUUAUUGUAGAACCCAGCUUUGAUGGAAGCCCCCAAAAUUCAGCAAACUUCUGACAAAAUCAUUUCUCUUUCAGUUCAUUUCUAGGAUUAACUAUUACAUGAAGUUUUUUAUCAAACUCUUAUAUAGGGCUUUAAGUAAUUGGUGGCUCAGACGGUUAAGCGUCUGUCUACAAUGUGGGAGACCCAGGUUCGAUCCCUGGGUCGGGAAGAUCCCCUGGAGAAGGAAAUGGCAAUCCACUCCAGUACUAUUGCCUGGAAAAUCCCAUGGACAGAGGAGCCUGGUAGACUACAGUCCAUGGGGUUGCAAAGAGUCGGACAUGACUUGACUUCAUAUAGGGCUUACCAGGGGCCACGUACUCUUCUAAUCGCUCUACAAAUACUGAAUUUCUUGAGCAAGCAACCUAUGACAAACCUGUGAAGUAGCUAUUACAGGCAUACAACCUGUUUUCCAAAACUCUUCAAUCAGAUGUGUUUCAGAAUUCAGACAUUGUGGUACUUUGGAAAAGUCAAAUAGCAUAUUAUGGAACUGGUCUCAUUGGGCUGGGGCAGCAGCCUGUCAUCAAAGUCAGUUGUUGCAGUAAAAUGGAAGAAUAUUCUAAGCGGAAUAACACCAUAAAUAUUCCCAGUUCCAUUCACCUCAGGUUUUGUCCUCAUAUCCUUAUAAGUCAAGUUAGGUUUGGCUGCCAAACAAAUUAUUUGAAAACAAUGAAAUAUGACUUCCAGUUUCCAGAGGUUCAGAGAUUUCAGGAAAGUGGUGAAAUAUUAUUUCCAUUUUGCACAUGAGGAAACCAAAGCACAGAAAAUUAACCAGCUUAAGUUCAUUCUCAGUUGGGGAAGAGAGGGUCAAACCUAAGUAUUCUGACUCCUGAACUCCCUACUUUUAGGUGUUUCGCCCUGCUGAGUUCAGCCUCGACAGCUAUAUUCACAACCUGUGUAAAGCACAGUGUAUCCAGAGCAUGGUGAAGAAUCUGGAGCUGAUUACAAUGCUCAGCAAGAUUCCAGUAUGUUCCAUGCUGGAGCACAGUGUUAGACUCUAGUCCUGCUGGAGAAUGUGUGACUCUGGAUAAUGCACUUGUUCUUUAUCUGAAUUUUAGAAUUGAGCCUGUAACCUCGAGAAGAGGGGACACAGUUGAGCUAUUAAGGAAACAGAUGGUCUGUGGCUUGGCGAUUUGGGGCAGGUGAGGAAAAUUGUAGAAUGGUUCAGGUUUCUGUCUUGGAUGGUGGUUCUCAUCACUGAGCUAAACAAAACAUUGAGAAACAGAUUUAGGAAGAAAGAUAGUUAACUCCACUUGGGGUCACAGUGAGUUUGAAGAGCUCACAGGACAUCCAGGGACAUGGUGGCGGUCACCAGAUACUUGGGCUUCAAACUCAGUGGAGAGAGUCGGCAUCAAAAAUACGAACUUCUGGGACUUCCCUGGUGGGGUCCAGUGGUUAAGAAUCUGCCUUGCAAUGCAGCAGACAUGGGUUCAAUCGCUGGUCCAGGAAGUAAGAUCCCACAUGCCACAGAGCAACUAAGCCUGUGUACCAUAACUACUGAGCCCACACACCUAGAACCCAUGCUCCGCAACAAGAGAUGCCAUGGCAAUGAGAGGUCCUCACACCACAAUGAAGAGUAGCCCCCACUCUCCACAACUAGAGAAAGCCCGUGUGCAGCAACGAAAGAAGCUGUGCACUGCAACAAGUGUAACCCCCAAAUAUAAAUAUUAAAAUUAAUUUAAACAAAACAGUAAUAUUCAAAAAAAUACAGACUUCUGAGUCCUCAGCCUUAGGAAUAUGGAAAGGGAGACCACAUAUAGACUCUUAGGAAUGGACCACUGACAGUGGGGCCCUGAAGACAAUGACUUUAACCCACAGAUACAGAAGAGUCUGAAGGGAACUGAGAGAAAUGGCAAAGACAAAAAGGGAGAAAAUCAGGAGCUAGAAGUGUCUCUAAAGAGAAAAUUACAAUUGGAAAAGCUGGACAAUACGCCUUCUAUUGUGAUGCUUUAGGAAGUUGACUUCCCCACCAAUGAAGUAUUUUUUAAAAUAUAUGUGUAUAUAUAUAUAAUUAAGAUAAAUAUAGAUAAAUUGAGUUAUGUAUCAAACAUACUGGAAAUAUUUUGCAAGUAUGAAAACAAUCUCAUAAAGACUCUACAUCUAAUUUCCAAUUUAUAGGAAGUUCAAAGACUAGACUAACAUAAGACUCUGUGAAGACAAUGAACCAAAUCCAGAAUUGUGAAAUUUAAUGACAGAAAACCCAGUUUCUUCAGCAAAUGGACUUUUAUGAAGUGUGUGUUGGAGAAGGGGUCAUGGUGCAUAAGGAACUGUCAAUAAAAUAUUUUUAAAGUUCUGAUCUGUUGAAGACAAAACUCCACAGUUGAACUCAUAUGAUGUCUGGGGUUUCCUUUAAAGAAUGUGUCCCAAUGGCAGAGCAUGUGAGAGAGAACACAGUGGGCAAAAUGCUGACAAUUGUUGAAGUAGGGUGAUGGAUACAUGGAAGUUCGUAAUGCUUUUAUCUGUAGCUUUAUGUUUGAAAAUUCCAUAAUAAAUUUUUAGAAAAUGAAAUGGAAUUUGGAGGAAAGAGAUUAACAGUAUUGUCACAGAAAGUUCUGGUAAAUUAAGAAUAGACUAGUAGAGUUUGGCUUAACAAUCUAGAAACCACUGUAACCUAAAGGGCCUUAAAGCAAUUUCAGUGGAAAGGUGGGGAAGAAUACCAGUUUAUAUCAAAAGCUAAGAUCUUGGGGUUGGGGGAAGACUGCAGCAUGUCAAAGGGACGUGGGAGCCAAUCUGAAAGAUCUCCCAGUGGCCAAAUGGAACAAUUGAAGCAACAAAAUCUAUAACAGAGAAUUGGAUUAUAACCCAAAGUAUAAAAGAGAUAUACAUGACUUCAUACUGAUAAGUGAUUGUAUAAUAAAGGAGGAGAAGAGACAAAUCUUCCAGAAUUCUAAAUAAUGGCUGUAGAUCCUGCCCCUUCUAGAGGUCUGACCUUACUCUUCCUCCCCUCCUCUUCCUGACCUUCUCCCUCCCCAAAGAACAGGGAAGAGAAAAGGGGAAAUAACAACUUUCAGUGGAAAAGCUUCACCAACACCACAUUAUGCACAUGCUCAAGGUCAGCAUCGCUGGUGGUAAGUUCUUCGGGUACCGUGCUACCAUGUGCUACUACCUGAUGUCUCAGAACCUGUAACCCCAGUCUCACCAUGAGAAAACAUCAGAUAAAGUGAAAUUGGGGGACAUUCUAGAAAAUACCCAACUGGUCCUCUUCAAAACCCUCAAGGUCGUGAAAAGCAAAGAAAGAUGAAAACUGUCAGAGGAGACCAAAGAGACAUGAAGACGAAUUGCAUCAUGGGAUUCUGGUUGGAUCUUGGAGCAGAAAAGGGGCAUUAUGUGGGGAAGAUGGUGAAAUCCACAUCAAGUAUGCACCAGCGUUCAUUUGACAAAUGGCCCAUGGUUAACCCUAAUUAUGGAAGAAACUGGGUGAAAGUUUACAGGAACCAUAUUAUCUUUACAACUUUUCUAUAAAUCUAAAAUAAUUCUGAAAUAAAAAGGGGUUUAAAAUAAAAAUAGAAAUUAAGUACAGGUUUUUCUAAAGAAAGAAUUUACAAAGCCUCUUUCCUUACUUCUGAGUGCUGUAGAAUCUGGCACUAGGACACCAGAAUGACACGGCCGAGGGCAAAGGUGAGGACCUGACCUUUUAUUAGGUACCUGAUGUAUGUAGUGCUGGGCAAUCUAUAUACAUUACCUGCCUGUUUCUCCUAACAACCUGAAAAAGCAGCAUCCCCAAUUAUCUAAAGAGCAAAUUGAUUCAAACUAAGAAGAAGUAACAUGCCUAAUGGCUGGGAGGUUGAAUGGAAAUGGUGAGGGGUGACUGCAAAUGGGAGCAGGGUUUCCUUUUGAGGUGAGGGGACUAUUUUGGAACUUGGAAGAGAUGGUGAUGAUGCAAUACUGCAAAUGUACUAAAUGCCACUGCAUUGUUCACUUGAAAAUGGUUACUUUUAUGUGAAUUUCAGCUCCGUGAAAAAAGGUGCAAUACUUACUAAAAAGGUUGAGAAGCUGUGGUCUGGGGAUGGUGAAAACACCUGGAGAGUGAUGUGCAGAAAUCACAUGGUAUAUCGUGUCCAACGAUCAGGGAAAAAUUACAGGGCACAUCAAAAGGCAAAAAGCACAGUUUGAAGAGACAAAGCAACCAUCAGAACCAGACGUAACAGGAACAUAGGAAUUAUCAGCCCAGGAAUUUAAAACAACUCUGAUGCAUAUGCUAAUAGCUCUAAUGGAUAAAAUAGAAAACAUUUAAGAACAGCUGGGCAAUGGAAGCAGAGAGAUGGUAAUGCUAAAAAGAAAUGCUAGAGAUCAAAAAACACUGGAACAGAAAUGAAGAAUGCUUUGAUGGGCUUAUUAGUAGACUGGACACAACUGAGGAAAAACAACUCGGAGCAGGAGGAGAGAUCAAUAGAGUCCUCAAACACCAAAAAGCAAAGAGAAGACUGAAAAAAAGCAAGAACAUAAUAUGCAAGGUCUGUGGGACAACUGAAAAAGGUGUACAUGCAUACUCAAUCAUGUCUGAGUCUUCACAAUCCAUGGACUGUAGCCCACCAGGCUUCUCUAUCCAUAGGUGUAACAUACACGAAAUUGGGAAAACUAAAACUUGGCAUAUCAUCUUCAAAUUACAGAAAAUCAAAGAUAAAAUCCUGAAAGAAGCUAGAAGAUAAAAACAGCUUUCCUAUAAAGAAACAAAGAAUUACAUCCAAAUUCUCUGCAGACACCAUGCAAACAA